rnacentral:rRNA from 1 species
UGAGGAAUAUUGGGCAAUGCCCGCAAGGGUGACCCAGCAACGCCGCGUGGAGGAUGAAUGUCGUAAGAUUGUAAACUCCUGUUAGAGGGGAAGAAUAGUACCGGUUGGACCGGUAUAUGACUGUACCCUCAGGGAAAGCCCCGGCUAACUACGUGCCAGCAGCCGCGGUAAUACGGAGGGGGCAAGCGUUGUCCGGAUUUACUGGGUGUAAAGGGCGCGCAGGCGGGAUAAAAAGUCAGUGGUGAAAUCCUACAGCUUAACUGUAGAACCGCCUUUGNUACUUUUAUUCUUGAGUUCGGGAGAGAGAGACGGAAUUCCAGGUGUAGUGGUGAAAUACGUAGAUAUCUGGAAGAACACCAGUUGCGAAGGCGGUCUCUUGGUCCGACACUGACGCUGAGGCGCGAAAGCGUGGGGAGCAAACA